UGCCCAGCAACUCCUAUCCCUACCUUCACGCGGUACCGGCCGGAAACUAUGAGCAACCUUAGGGAAGAUCGGGUAACCAACCCCGGUGGGAACUUUGGUCAUAGGCUGACAGGGAAGG
rnacentral:ribozyme from 1 species